UUCCUGGAACUGUAAUUUUAUGAAUGAAUGGUUGUGAGCUAUGAUGUGGGUGCUGGGAAUUGAACCUGGGUCCUGUAUAUGAACAAGUGCUCUUGGCUUCUGAUUUCUCUCUCCAGUCUAAGAGAACAGAUACUACUGCUUUCAGACAGGUUCUCCUUGUAUGUCUCAGGCUCUCCUCAAACUGGGGAGCCUCCUGUCUCAUCUGUUAGUGUAGAAAUUAUCUUCAGGUUCUAUCACAAUCAUCCACUAUUUUUGACUCUCUGAUGGCCGAAUCUAGUUUACUCUUAAUUUGCCUAUAGCAAAGGGGUAUAUAUGUGAGUGAAAUCUAGAGUUGAAUCCACUUUUACACUUUUAAAUUUUAUUUAUCACUGUGGGUAUGUGUGAGAGAGAUGUGCUUGUGGGAAUAUGUGCCACAGCAUUCACGUGGAGGUCCAAGGCCAGCCUGAGGAAUCAGCUCUCUCCUUCGCCCUUUCUGUGAGUUCCAGGGCUUGCACAGCAAGCGUGAUUACCUGCUGGUCCAUGCUGAUGGCCCUUUGAUGUUUGUUUUUGACACUUCCAUCAAGCAUUAGGAGAGGUGAAAGGAGGAUGUCUCAAGUAUUGCAUUCUGUAUUAUUCCUUUGAGAGUCUCACUGAACCCAGCGGAAGGCUGGUGCGGUCAAGCUUCAGUGCACUGUCCCUUCCCUACACAGUGCUUGGCGUUGCAGUGGACGGAGCCUAACCAAUGCUAGAACUCUACCACCAAUCUACAACUCCAGUCCACCUGUUUAUUGCAUGGCCCUUGAAGGGGACUAGUUGUCUUAAUGGACAGCUGCUUCCAUCCCAAGGAGAUGACACAUCAUACUGUAAAGGUGACAGAACAAGUCAGCGCUGCAUGGGCUACCUGGCUUGGGCAUCUACAUUAUGGCCCUGGUCAAGCCUGUGCACCCUACAGGGAUAAACUAAAAAUGGCUCUUCCCCUGUCUCCACCCCCCGUGGGGAUAUUGAACCCAGGUCUUGAGCAUGCUAGGAAAGCACUAUAAAGGCAAAAAGAGUAUUUUGUGAGACAUGAAAAUCAUAUGAAAUUCAAAUUUCAGUUCCUAAAGUUUGAACACAGCACAUCGCUGGAACCCAGUCAUGUCGACUCAUUUCCGCAGGUCCUUUGGCUGCUUUUCACUACUCAAUUAGUGUAGUCACAACAGAAACCAGACAUGGUACUGUCAUUGCUUUGUUACUGCAACAUGGCGAAUAAGGAGAGUAAUGUGGUGGAAUUUUAUAAAAACCUGCUGAAAGGCCCAACUAAAAGCACUUGCUCCAGACACUCAGGAGGGAGAGGCAGGAGAUUUCCUUUCUUUUUCUUAAGAUUUAUUUAUUUGUUAUGUAUACAGUAUUCUGUCUGUGUGUAUGCCUACAGUGAAGG